ensembl:ncRNA linc-171 ncRNA
AAAUAGACCUAGUGCCCUGAUUGAGAAGACUAUAUGUUUGUUUUGCUAUUGUUUCUAUUGUAUUUUGCUCGGAAACGUUCUAGAUGUCUACAAAGUACAACUAUAGUGACUGUAGUUUCGGUUUGCAAAAAAAGAAGAUCAAAGCAAACAAGAUUUGUCGAAGUGGUCGUUUUGUCCACUGGUCCUAGUUAAUUUAAACAAGGCUAGGCGGUAAUUUCCGAAAAGUUUGAAAUUUCGAAAAAAAAAUGUUGCAAACAGUUUUGUUUCAAAAUUUUUGAAGUAUUUUUUCGUAUUUUUUUUAAAGAAAAAAGAAGUGACACUUGCAUAAAUGCUGAACUAUUGGAUAGUUUGCAAAAUAAAAUCAUGUUUGCAUGAUCUUCAUCUCUAGACUGUACUCUCCGAAUUUAUCCAUCUUCCCAAAAAGUCCACUCUCUGCCUCUCUGUCUCCCUCUCUGCACACAGUGAUUCGCACGUUUUUACGAAACUAACACGGCGCCGGCUUAUCAUCAUAUAAUGGCUAGGCAGGUUUUAUAUGUUCAGACGCAAUAUAUGAGUGACACUCUGACUCAUUUUAUGCCUUUCUUGAAGCAAACAUUUUCAAUUUCGCGUUUCUUUUUUUUUCCUUUUCUUCGACGCCGCGUCGUAUUCUUCUCAACUAAAUUAGUUUCCCGUCGAAUGAGUUUCCUUCUUACUCUUUGAAAAUAAGAAGACAAUGCGGUGGUUUCUAUGGUUUAACUGCAUGGCUCCAAGAGUCCAAGUCCAUUCUUUUGUGUAUGUUUGUCAAUGGUUACAAAGUUCUCGUCUCGUUUCCCGCGCGCUCAGUGUUUUCCUUCCGUCGCCCAGAGAAGCUUAAAAGCCUCUCUUGAGCUGGAGGAGCACACGCCGCCGCCGGCUCCGCACUCCUCGCAAUUUUGGAAAUUGCAUGAGCCUCUUCUUUCCUUCCUUCCUUUCCCGCCACGCCCCUUUCCUCCCCCGUUUUCCAUUUCAUCGAACUGACUGACGGGAGAGGAAGGAUGGACGAUAGACGGGGUGGCAAAAUAUUCAACCCCAUUGUUUGCCCCCGUUUCUGACGAAGAGCCCGUGCACAUACAUAGGCUCGCACUCUCAUUCCGCACAUUUUAUCUCGUUGAAUUCAAU